CUCUCUCUCUCUCUCUCGUCGAUAAACACAAAAAAUCGAAACUGUGUUCGAUCCGUUGUAAGCGAUGCUUUGACGCCGGAGAAUGGUGUUCUUUUUGGCGAAUCGACGAGACCUUCGACGCGUGGUUCAACGGUUCAUCGGAUUGGUACAAACGAAGUGUUUGGGUGAGUGAAUCGAAUCAACAAAACUGGCACACGAUGAGGUAGUACAAGAAGGUGUGAAGGUGGAUAGAGUGGGUGAGGCGUUUGUGGUUGAGAUGUGGAAGAAACUACCGAACUCUCUUCUCAGGACGUGACUGCUACUACAAGCUCUUGUAGAAUGGUGACUGCUACUUUUUGACAUCUUCACAUUAUUUGAUCAUCAUUCAUCACUGGAAAGAGUUCAUAGAGAAGAGUUUUAUAAUCAUGUGAUGAUUGUUUAUUAUUGAUACUAAUUUUGUAUUAGCAUCAUUUUAUUAUUGAUACUAAUUUUGUAUCUUUUAUUUAAUUGAUUUUUUAUUUUGUAUCA